rnacentral:lncRNA from 1 species
GAAUGGAGAAUCCAGACUUUCUCAUGCAGCACGAAACAGUUUUCAAAGAUGUAGCCAGAAUAUAUUUUAGAAAAACAAACACUGAGCUUACCGUCAUAUAUUUCUGUUACUGAUUGUUUUUGUGCAAGUAACCGAGUACUAAUAUAAAAAGAGGAGGCGAGACUGUGUGGAGAUGCCUGCUGGGAAGGUGGACAGACGGACGGUGAGGAAAAGGUUGCCAGACCGCUCAGAACAGAUCGACUUGACGUUUUCUGACACGGUCACUAACUAAAUGCUUUCCCAUUCUCCAGUGCUUUCCGCCUCAUAACUCACCUCAUGUCAUCUGCAGGCUGAGAGAAUAGAGAAUGCGGUAAUGGAUCACCACAACCAGACCAUUCGAAAUGGUUACCGCAGGACGCAGCCCCUCCACAACAGGGUGGUGGAAGCCAAUUUCCCAUACUCCCCGGAUGAAGUCUCUAAGAACCACUUUUACAUGCACGAGAAGAUUUCACACGGUUUGAAACUAAAGAAAAUUAAGAAGAA